UCGAGAAUUUUUCACAAUGGGGGAAACCCUGAUGGAGCGACGCCGCGUGGGGGAUGAAUGGCUUCGGCCCGUAAACCCCUGUCAUUCGCGAACAAUGCUUACGACCUAACACGUCGUAUGUUGAUAGUAGCGGAAGAGGAAGGGACGGCUAACUCUGUGCCAGCAGCCGCGGUAAUACAGAGGUCCCAAGCGUUGUUCGGAUUCACUGGGCGUAAAGGGUGCGUAGGUGGUCGGGUAAGUCUGAUGUGAAAUCUCCGAGCUUAACUCGGAAAUGGCAUUGGAUACUAUUCGGCUAGAGGAUUGGAGGGGGGACUGGAAUACUUGGUGUAGCAGUGAAAUGCGUAGAUAUCAAGUGGAACACCAGUGGCGAAGGCGAGUCCCUGGACAAUUCCUGACACUGAGGCACGAAAGCUAGGGGAGCAAA
rnacentral:rRNA from 1 species